GACGAACGCUGGCGGCGUGCUUAACACAUGCAAGUCGAGCGGUAAGGCUCCUUCGGGAGUACACGAGCGGCGAACGGGUGAGUAACACGUGAGCAAUCUGCCCUUCACUUCGGGAUAACUCCGGGAAACCGGUGCUAAUACCGAAUACGACCACUUCAGGCAUCUGAUGGUGGUGGAAAGUUCCGGCGGUGAAGGAUGAGCUCGCGGCCUAUCAGCUUGUUGGUGAGGAAUGGCCCACCAAGGCAACGACGGGUAGCCGGCCUGAGAGGGUGACCGGCCACACUGGGACUGAGACACGGCCCAGACUCCUACGGGAGGCAGCAGUGGGGAAUAUUGGACAAUGGGCGAAAGCCUGAUCCAGCAACGCCGCGUGAGGGAUGACGGCCUCGG
rnacentral:rRNA from 1 species